rnacentral:rRNA from 1 species
UACAGGGGGGGCAAGCGUUGUUCGGAAUUACUGGGCGUAAAGGGUUCGUAGGUGGCCACUUAAGUCAGACGUGAAAUCCCUCAGCUUAACUGGGGAACUGCGUCUGAUACUGAGUGGCUUGAGUGCAGGAGAGGAAUGCGGAAUUCCAGGUGUAGCGGUGAAAUGCGUAGAUAUCUGGAGGAACACCGGUGGCGAAGGCGGCAUUCUGGACUGUAACUGACACUGAUGAACGAAAGCCAGGGGAGCAAACGGG